AGCGAACGCUAGCGGCAGGCCUAACACAUGCAAGUCGAGCGGUAGAGGACCUUCGGGUUCUUGAGAGCGGCGCACGGGUGCGUAACGCGUAUGCAACCUACCCUUUACAGGGGAAUAGCCCGUCGAAAGGCGGAUUAAUGCCCCAUGGCUCCUUUGAGAGGCAUCUCUUGAAGGUAAAGAUUUAUCGGUAAAGGAUGGGCAUGCGUGCCAUUAGCUUGAUGGUGGGGUAACGGCCCACCAUGGCUACGAUGGCUAGGGGUUCUGAGAGGAAGGCCCCCCACACUGGGACUGAGACACGGCCCAGACUCCUACGGGAGGCAGCAGUGAGGAAUAUUGGUCAAUGGGCGGAAGCCUGAACCAGCCAUGCCGCGUGCGGGAAGAAGGUGCUACGCGUCGUAAACCGCUUUUGUCCGGGGGUAACCGCGGGGACGUGUCCCCGCCUGCAAGUACCGGACGAAUAAGGGUCGGCUAACUCCGUGCCAGCAGCCGCGGUAAAAC
rnacentral:rRNA from 1 species